CGCCUGUUUAUCAAAAACAUCUCUUCUCGUUAGUUUUUGAAGUAUGGCCUGCCCACUGACCUUGAAUGUUGAAGGGCCGCGGUAUUUUGACCGUGCAAAGGUAGCAUAGUCAUUAGUUCUUUAAUUGUGAUCUGGUAUGAAUGGCUUGACGAGGCAUAGGCUGUCUUAAUUUUGAAUUGUUUAUUGAAUUUGGUCUUUGAGUUAAAAUUCUUAGAUGUUUUUAUGGGACGAGAAGACCCUAUAGAGUUUGACAUUUAUUCACGGUCUCUUUCUGUUUGUGAGGGUUCACUAGGGCUGUUUAAUAUGUUUUGUUGGGGUGAUGGGAGGGAUAUUAUUUAACCCCUCCUUUGUGUUGUUAUAUUUAUUUAUAUUUGCUUGAUCCAUUUAUUUUGAUUGUAAGAUUAAAUUACCUUAGGGAUAACAGCGUAA
rnacentral:rRNA from 1 species